AUAGUCUUCGAGGGGUCUGCAAAUGACCACAAAUUGCAAAAUUGUAUACCUCUGUAUAUGUUUGCAUGUAUAUUUCCCUAGGGAGAGCCCGACCACUUUCAUCUGAUUGGCAUCUCUGAUCCUCCAGGAGGUUAAGGACCGUUUUAUCAGCAGCUGGCCCAGGUUUGGAGGCAGCACGUUUUAGGGUAUCCUGAGAGUGACAGCCCACAUACACAUCACACCUGGAGGCUCGACUUCCUCACUGGAUGCUUGUGCCUGGAACUGCCCUGUAGGGGUGACGCCCUCCAAAGGCAGUGGCGCAGCUGCUCCUGUGCGUACCCAGUGGCUUUCUUAUGGCGGUGGCCAGGUGCUCAGUGAGAGGCCUGAGGCUCUGGGUGGAACCAGAUUCCAGGAUUCAGCUAGGAUCCAACUAGGGUCAUUGUUUUCAGCGAGAUCUCACAGCAGCGACCCUCAAGAUGACAGAAAUGAAUAAUGCCUCCCUAACACAUGCUGUGGUUUUUGGUUUUUGUUUUGUUUUGUUUUGUUUGAGAUGGAGUCUUACUCUGUUACCCAACCUCCCAUGCUCAAGUCAUCCUCCUGCCCCAGACUCACAAGUAACUGGGACCGCAGACAUAUGCCACCAUGCCCAGCUAAUGUUUUGUAUUUUUGGUAGAGAUGGAGUUUUGUCACGUUACUCAGGCUGGUCCUGAGCUCAAGU
rnacentral:lncRNA from 1 species